AUCACUCCCUCACUGAAUGGCCCCAUUUUUUACCAUUAUCAAAUUUAUGACCACAAUCAAUGAAAUUAGAAAUAUUGUAUAAAGUUGAAGAAGCAUGCAAAGGUCCCCUCUUUUUUUGUUUCCCCUCCUCCCUUAUUCCUUCUCUCUUGGUCAUUUGGCCUUUGAAAUAUCAAGUAUAAUUGAGAGAAAAGUUUAAAAACUAAAAUGAAAUAAACGUGAAUGCAUUUUUUCCCCUUCUCUAAAAUGUGGGAGCUUUUUUCUAUGGACUACUUUUAUGGGACACAGUGCAUAAAUUGUAAAUGUAUGAUGUGAUCCAAUUUAUUGUGUUGGAUGUAUAAACCAGUUUUUGAGCUCCACUAUAAGUUCAUGAUUAUAGUGAGUGGUUUUCUAAUAUGUAAUGAAAUCUCUUUGAUCAAGU
rnacentral:misc_RNA from 1 species